GAUGAAGAACGCAGCGAAAUGCGAUAAGUAAUGCGAAUUGCAGAAUUUCCGUGAGUCAUCGAAUCUUUGAACGCACAUUGCGCCCGCCAGCACUCUGGCGGGCAUGCCUGUUCGAGCGUCAUUUCAACCAUCAAGCCCCAGGCUUGCGUUGGAGCCCUGCGGCUGCCGCAGCCUCCUAAAAGCAGUGGCGGGCUCGCUAUCACACCGAGUGCAGUAGAUUACUCUUCGCUCAGGGCCUGCAGCGGGUUCCGGCCGUGAAACCCCCUACUUUUAAAGGUUGACCUCGGAUCAGGUAGGAAUACCCGCUGAACUUAAGCAUAUCAAUAAGCGGAGGA
rnacentral:misc_RNA from 1 species